rfam:Actinoalloteichus hoggarensis strain DSM 45943 chromosome, complete genome.
GGGGGUGAACGGUUUCGACUUCGGACGUUGAGUCAGGAGAAGCGUGCAGGUGCAGGCGGGAGACCACCUUGAGCGUCGCCGCACAUCAAUAAGCGCCGACAACAAGAGUCGCGCCGAGUACGCCCUCGCUGCCUGAGCGAGGAAUUACUCUGUCGGACCGGGAACGCCUCCGUCCCGGACCCCGGCAUCAGCUAGGAGGCUCAACUACCAGGUUUGGCCGCGGGGCCUGGUAGGACACUUACAGCGGCUGGGCUCGUCACACCGGCUUGUCCGUGAGACCGGUGGAGCCGAGUAGAGACAAGACGGACUGCGCACGGAGAAGUCCUGAUGAGGCGACGGAGGACCCGGGUUCGAUUCCCGGCACCUCCACGU